rnacentral:rRNA from 1 species
AUAAAAUUCUAGGUAGAAUUAUGAUGAUGACAUUGUCUAUCUAUGUGUCUUGACCAAAUUACGUGCCAGCAGUCGCGGUAAUACGUAUAAGGCUAGUGUUAUUCAUGUUUAAUCGGUUUAAAGGGUACCUAGACGGUAAAUCAAGCUUUAAAAAUACAGAUGUUAAUUUUAAUAUAUUAAUAUUAUUAAAAGGACUAAUUUACUAGAGUUACUAAUGGCGGGGCUUUAAAGUACUAUUGGUGGAGAGAUAAAAUUCUUAGAUACCUCUUAUGGCACAUAUAUAGGCGAAGGUAUCCCCUUAUGUGAUAACUGACGUUGAGGGACGAAGGCU